rnacentral:rRNA from 1 species
GAUGAACGCUAGCGGGAGGCCUAACACAUGCAAGCCGAGCGGUAGAGAUUCUUCGGAAUCUUGAGAGCGGCGUACGGGUGCGGAACACGUGUGCAACCUGCCUUUAUCAGGGGGAUAGCCUUUCGAAAGGAAGAUUAAUACCCCAUAAUAUAUUGAAUGGCAUCAUUUGAUAUUGAAAACUCCGGUGGAUAGAGAUGGGCACGCGCAAGAUUAGAUAGUUGGUGAGGUAACGGCUCACCAAGUCUACGAUCUUUAGGGGGCCUGAGAGGGUGGGCCCCCAGACUGGUACGGGGACACGGACCAGACUCCGACGGGAGGCAGCAGUGAGGAAUAUUGGACAAUGGGUGCGAGCCUGAUCCAGCCAUCCCGCGUGAAGGACGACGGCCCUAUGGGUUGUAAACUUCUUUUGUAUAGGGAUAAACCUAGAUACGUGUAUCUAGCUGAAGGUACUAUACGAAUAAGCACCGGCUAACUCCGUGCCAGCCGCCGCCGUAA